UACGUAGGGGGCAAGCGUUGUCCGGAUUUAUUGGGCGUAAAGAGCGUGUAGGCGGCUUGGUAGGUCUGCUGUGAAAACUCGGGGGCUCAACCCCGAGACGUCGGUGGAAACCACCUGGCUAGAGUCCGGAAGAGGAGAGUGGAAUUCCUGGUGUAGCGGUGAAAUGCGCAGAUAUCAGGAGGAACACCGGUGGCGAAGGCGGCUUGCUGGGCCAGUUCUGACGCUGAGGAGCGAAAGCGUGGGGAGCGAACAGG
rnacentral:rRNA from 1 species